rnacentral:rRNA from 1 species
GACAGAGGGUGCAAGCGUUGUCCGGAAUUAUUGGGCGUAAAACGUCUGUAGGCGGUUCAUCAAGUCUAAUGUUAAAUGGUGGAGCUCAACUUCGCCAUGCAUUGGAAACUGACGGACUAGAGUGCGUUAGGGGUUAUUGGAAUUCCCGGUGUAGUGGUGAAAUACGUAGAUAUCGGGAGGAACUCCAGAGGCGAAAGCGAAUAACUGGGGCGUAACUGACGCUGAGAGACGAAAGCGUGGGGAGCAAAAAGG